rnacentral:rRNA from 1 species
UGCUCCUUGGGUGACGAGUGGCGGACGGGUGAGUAAUGUCUGGGAAACUGCCCGAUGGAGGGGGAUAACUACUGGAAACGGUAGCUAAUACCGCAUAACGUCGCAAGACCAAAGAGGGGGACCUUCGGGCCUCUUGCCAUCGGAUGUGCCCAGAUGGGAUUAGCUAGUAGGUGGGGUAACGGCUCACCUAGGCGACGAUCCCUAGCUGGUCUGAGAGGAUGACCAGCCACACUGGAACUGAGACACGGCCCAGACUCCUACGGGAGGCAGCAGUGGGGAAUUUUGGACAAUGGGGGCAACCCUGAUCCAGCCAUGCCGCGUGAGUGAAGAAGGCCUUCGGGUUGUAAAGCUCUUUCGGCCGGGAAGAAAUCGUGUGGGCUAAUACCCUGCAUGGAUGACGGUACCGGAAUAAGAAGCACCGGCUAACUCCGUGCCAGCAGCCGCGGUAAUACGGAGGGUGCAAGCGUUAAUCGGAAUUACUGGGCGUAAAGCGUGCGCAGGCGGUUGAUUAAGACAGGCGUGAAAUCCCCGGGCUUAACCUGGGAACUGCGCUUGUGACUGGUCGGCUAGAGUACGGCAGAGGGGGGUGGAAUUCCACGU